rnacentral:rRNA from 1 species
UACAGAGGUGGCAAGCGUUGUUCGGAAUUACUGGGCGUAAAGGGCGCGUAGGCGGUUCUGUAAGUCCCGCGUGAAAUCCCCCGGCUCAACUGGGGAACUGCGCGGGAAACUGUGGGGCUAGAGUUCAGGAGAGGGAAGCGGAAUUCCGGGUGUAGCGGUGAAAUGCGUAGAUAUCCGGAGGAACACCGAUGGCGAAGGCAGCCUCCUGGGCCAGCACUGACGCUCAUGCACGAAAGCGUGGGGAGCAAACAGG